GAUGAACGCUGGCGGCGUGCCUAAUACAUGCGAGUCGAGCGAACAGACGAGGAGCUUGCUCCUCUGACGUUAGCGGCGGACGGGUGAGUAACACGUGGAUAACCUACCUAUAAGACUGGGAUAACUUCGGGAAACCGGAGCUAAUACCGGAUAAUAUAUUGAACCGCAUGGUUCAAUAGUGAAAGACGGUUUUGCUGUCACUUAUAGAUGGAUCCGCGCCGCAUUAGCUAGUUGGUAAGGUAACGGCUUACCAAGGCAACGAUGCGUAGCCGACCUGAGAGGGUGAUCGGCCACACUGGAACUGAGACACGGUCCAGACUCCUACGGGAGGCAGCAGUAGGGAAUCUUCCGCAAUGGGCGAAAGCCUGACGGAGCAACGCCGCGUGAGUGAUGAAGGCCUUCGGAUCGUAAAACUCUGUUAUUAGGGAAGAACAAAUGUGUAAGUAACUAUGCACGUCUUGACGGUACCUAAUCAGAAAGCCACGGCUAACUACGUG
rnacentral:rRNA from 1 species